CUCACGGAACGGUAGCUAAAACCUCACCAGGACAGCACGGAACUGUGGAGACACAGCUGAAGGCGCCGUCGGAGCCUCAUAUCUGGGCCGGACCCUAGACCCAGCGCUUCAAGGAGCCCCCUGCCUGGAUCACAGAUGAUGUCCAUGUCUCUACUGACAAAAUCAACAUUUCUCACUAAAUUUCACCAGCUGGUACUCCCACCUGGCUGGCUUACUGAGCACUGAGUAAAGAGGCAUUUUUUCCACGGCCAACAUCUGAAAACAGGACUAUCAAGUUCCUGAAUGCCAGAAUGACACUGCAGCCCCAAAGCAUGGACUCAGCGAAUCAAUUUCGAAGAAGACAUAAUGGAGAGAGGCAUAAUAAGAGCAAAUUUGGAGCAACCAUCAGCGCUCUACAGUCUUCAACUCCGCUCCUCACUUUCUGGAUGCAGCAUGGCAAGGGGAGAUUCUACAGCCCAUCCUCAGCAAGGGUCGGUGUGAAACAGCACAAGCCUGGAUUUGGUUAUAAAUGGAGAUUAAUAGAGAAUGACUUUGGGACACUGUAUUAAGAGUUGUACCUGAAACUCCAGUUUCUUAAACGGUGGCAGCCUUAUUUGGAGCUAUGUAACUCAAAGACAGAGUCACAGAAAGGUUCUCAAAAGUAAAUGAUUUUAAAAUGCACAGUGACAAGAAAAAUAAUUGAAAAUAAAGCACAUAAAAAAAAUCUAAGCUUUCUGGCCGUGCUCACCCCAUUGUAUUUUAUACACUUACUGCACCCUUAACUGUGAACAAAUGAUGUGCACUUUACACUGUGUCUGGGAUCACACUGCCUACACGUAGGAACUCUCACCACAGCUUGGAUCACUGGUUCAAGGCACUGUUUCAUUACAUGUACAAUGGUUUCUAGUCUAGCAGAAAUAAGGUGUUUUACACCAACCAGUGAGUAUGCAUGUCCCCUCCAGGUCUUUCUAUCUCCCCCUUCUUUCAUAAGAUUCCCUGCACUCUGCCCAAAGUUUGGCUAUGAUACCCUGCAGAGUAGAGUCUUCCAGAAGCCCUUUGUGGUAGGCUCCUGUCCUGUUCCCUGUUAUCUCCUUCUUCCAAUGUCCAUCCCGUUUGUCUUUCUGAGUAAUGAUUGAUUAUCUCACCCAGGGUCCUCCUUCUUGCUUAGCUUCUUUAGGUGUACAGAUUUUAGUAUGUUUAUCCUAUAUGUUUAAUAUUCACUUAUGUGUGAGUAUAUGCUAUGUAUGUCUUUCUGUUUCUGGAUUACCUCACCAAGAUGAUCUUUUCCAGUUCUCAAAAUGAUACCCCAGCUAAGGACAAUGCAUGGAGAAGACCUAAAACCCCUGCUCAGAUGGUAGUCCAUAGACUCAGUAUCUAAGAGGGAUCCCUAGUAAGGGGAACAGAAGCUGUCUCUGGCAUGAACUCAGUGGCAGGAUCUCUGAUCACCUCCCCCUGGGGGCAGGGUGCAGCCUUGCCAGGUCACUGAGGAAGACAAUGCAACCAGUCCUGAUGAGACUUGAUAGACUUGAUAGACUGGGGUCAAAUAGAAGGGGAAGAGGAUCUUUGUAUCAGUUGAAUAGGGGAGAGGCAUAGGGGAAGAAGAGGGAGGGAAGGUGUGGUUGAGAGAGAAUGAGGGAAGGAGUCACAGCUGAGAUACAAAUUGAAUAAAUUGUAGUAAGUAAUAAUUAAAAAAUUAAGGAAAGAGUAUGUAUGGCUGGACCUGGAACCCGUACUAUAGGUGAUAUGCAGCUUGGUCAUCAUGUGGGUCCCCUAACAAUUGGAGCAGGGACUUUGUUGCUUGCUUUUGCAUCCCUUUUCCUUAGCUGGACUGCCUCCUCUGGCCUCAGUGUGAAAGGGUGCUCUUAGACCUGCUGUGACUUGACGUGCCAAGGUGGAUUGGAACUCAUGGGGGUCUCACCUUCUCUGAGGAGAAAAGGAAUGGGGAAUAGAUGUAAGGAGGUAUGGGUUGGAAUGGGAGGAGGAGGGGGGAGAGCUACAGUUAAGGUAUAAAAUGAAUAAAUAAAUUAAUUAAUGGGAAAUAAAGAAAAAUCAUAUUCAUUUAGUAAAACCCAUAAAAAAGAAAUAGGGUGGUUUAAUUAUGUAAAACAAAGAUCAUUAAUAUAUUCUUGCCACCACUCAGCCUGUAUCAAAUUCAUAUAUCUUGCACUAUUCAUGUGGGAAUGUGUGAUUUGAGACAGUGCUUUUUGAGUUGCUGACUUGAGUUUCAUGAAAGAUUUUGGAAGGGAAUUAAACUCUAGGAUUAGGACAGUCCUUUCAACCAUUUCUGAGGAGGCUCUGAACUUACUUCUACCCAUUUCAUGUUUAUGCAGAGCAGUGUUGUAGUAAACCAAAAUAUUGAGCAAUUCUGAAAACACCCCUGCAUCUUAGAGUAUCACAUACAAAGCCAAGAUAAACAACCACAUCCAUCUUAUUAAUAUGUAAAUUUGCUUUCAUUUCAAAUAAAUCAUCAAAUUACAUCAUGCCAAAGAAUUAUAUUUAAAAAAAAUUCUUUGUGAUUUAUUGUCUGUAAAUGUUUUCUACAUGUGCCUAUUUUAUAUACCCACAUAAGCACUAUUGUGUGAAAGUUUGUUGGGUGAAAAGGGGUCACAAGUACAAAGCUUAAGCAGCCCUGCACUAGAUCAAGGUGACACAUUCCACUCUCUGCGUUGAGCUUUCUUUUAUAAGCGUGUGUCAUAGAAGUCCUCUCAAGUGUCAUUAUUGGUUGUGCGGGCUUUUAUGUCUUGUUUUAUUUUGGGAGGCCUGUGUUUCCUCAGUGGUGGGGCAGUUUUUUGAGGUUCUUAAGAGUAUAAUGGAAUUGCAGCCUUGCAAAGGUCCCCAUUGUCACUGGAUUAUCUUACUGUUUGAUGAUUCUUUCUUCCUCCACUUCAUGUUUUCUAGUGUCCACAUUCUGAUUCUUUAAUGCACUAUGCAAAUAUAAGUAGAAAUGUAAUUUCUUUUCUAACUGAAGACUAUGCGUGUUGGGUUGAAUAACCCUGAGAAUUUGUUUAAAAUCAUGUCUGGCCUAAUGAUGACCUGUUCAGACCUAGAGACCACCAUUCACUUACUCAUUUCGGCAUUGAUUUUUCUUGUGCCUUUUCUAUGCCAUUUAAAAGCUCUCACAGUUUAUAGAGGAGGAGUGCUACACAUCACAGAGUUACUUUGAUUUUCAGCUUUAAUAUAUUGUCAAAAAGACAUUGAGUUAUCAAUAAAUAAAAAGCCACACCUACUUUUAAUUAAAAUCGUUGGCUUCAUGGAAAUGCAAUAGUGAAGCCCUUUUCACAGAAAAGGGUUUUAAAUGCCUCUGUAUAUUAAAUAAAGAUUACCAAUGUUCUAUAUUAAGAAUAUAAUUUUCCCCAAAUAACUUCUAUAAAGGCUAACUUCUUAGUGAAGAAAACACAAACUAAUUUCAAGAUUUCACCUUAAAACUGGAUAAUGUAUCAAAUUUGAAAAAGGUACAGUUACCAACAACUGAGGUGGUUUUGAAAUAAACCUAUUUGUAAUGAACAUCAAAUUUGUUUAUUUAUAUCUUCAGUAUCAUCCAGCCAAAUGCUAUUUAAUUUUCUUCUAAUAUCUGUUUCCUAUUCACUAAAGUAGAGCAGAUAUUCUUUUCUUUUUCUUUUUCUCUUCAAGAAACUGGCAGCCCAAGUUUGCUUCACCUUUGCUUGGCAC